GGUUAAGCGACUAAGCGUACACGGUGGAUGCCCUGGCAGUCAGAGGCGAUGAAGGACGUGCUAAUCUGCGAUAAGCGUCGGUAAGGUGAUAUGAACCGUUAUAACCGGCGAUUUCCGAAUGGGGAAACCCAGUGUGAUUCGUCACACUAUCAUUACGUGAAUACAUAGCGUAAUGAAGCGAACCGGGGGAACUGAAACAUCUAAGUACCCCGAGGAAAAGAAAUCAACCGAGAUUCCCCCAGUAGCGGCGAGCGAACGGGGAGCAGCCCAGAGUCUGAAUCAGCUUGUGUGUUAGUGGAACGGUCUGGAAAGUCCGACGGUACAGGGUGAUAGUCCCGUACACCAAAAUGCACAGGUUGUGAACUCGAAGAGUAGGGCGGGACACGUGGUAUCCUGUCUGAAUAUGGGGGGACCAUCCUCCAAGGCUAAAUACUCCUGACUGACCGAUAGUGAACCAGUACCGUGAGGGAAAGGCGAAAAGAACCCCGGCGAGGGGAGUGAAAAAGAACCUGAAACCGUGUACGUACAAGCAGUGGGAGCAUCCUUUUGGGUGUGACUGCGUACCUUUUGUAUAAUGGGUCAGCGACUUAUAUUCUGUAGCAAGGUUAACCGUAUAGGGGAGCCGAAGGGAAACCGAGUCUUAACUGGGCGUUAAGUUGCAGGGUAUAGACCCGAAACCCGGUGAUCUAGCCAUGGGCAGGUUGAAGGUUGGGUAACACUAACUGGAGGACCGAACCGACUAAUGUUGAAAAAUUAGCGGAUGACUUGUGGCUGGGGGUGAAAGGCCAAUCAAACCGGGAGAUAGCUGGUUCUCCCCGAAAGCUAUUUAGGUAGCGCCUCGUGAACUCAUCUUCGGGGGUAGAGCACUGUUUCGGCUAGGGGGUCAUCCCGACUUACCAACCCGAUGCAAACUGCGAAUACCGAAGAAUGUUAUCACGGGAGACACACGGCGGGUGCUAACGUCCGUCGUGAAGAGGGAAACAACCCAGACCGCCAGCUAAGGUCCCAAAGUCAUGGUUAAGUGGGAAACGAUGUGGGAAGGCACAGACAGCCAGGAUGUUGGCUUAGAAGCAGCCAUCAUUUAAAGAAAGCGUAAUAGCUCACUGGUCGAGUCGGCCUGCGCGGAAGAUGUAACGGGGCUAAACCAUGCACCGAAGCUGCGGCAGCGACACUAUGUGUUGUUGGGUAGGGGAGCGUUCUGUAAGCCGUUGAAGGUGUAUCGUGAGGUAUGCUGGAGGUAUCAGAAGUGCGAAUGCUGACAUAAGUAACGAUAAUGCGGGUGAAAAACCCGCACGCCGGAAGACCAAGGGUUCCUGUCCAACGUUAAUCGGGGCAGGGUGAGUCGACCCCUAAGGCGAGGCCGAAAGGCGUAGUCGAUGGGAAACAGGUUAAUAUUCCUGUACUUGGUGUUACUGCGAAGGGGGGACGGAGAAGGCUAUGUUAGCCGGGCGACGGUUGUCCCGGUUUAAGCAUGUAGGCGGAGGUUCCAGGUAAAUCCGGUACCUUUUUAACGCUGAGGUGUGAUGACGAGGCACUACGGUGCUGAAGUAACAAAUGCCCUGCUUCCAGGAAAAGCCUCUAAGCAUCAGGUAACACGAAAUCGUACCCCAAACCGACACAGGUGGUCAGGUAGAGAAUACCAAGGCGCUUGAGAGAACUCGGGUGAAGGAACUAGGCAAAAUGGUGCCGUAACUUCGGGAGAAGGCACGCUGAUAUGUAGGUGAAGUGAUUUACUCAUGGAGCUGAAAUCAGUCGAAGAUACCAGCUGGCUGCAACUGUUUAUUAAAAACACAGCACUGUGCAAACACGAAAGUGGACGUAUACGGUGUGACGCCUGCCCGGUGCCGGAAGGUUAAUUGAUGGGGUUAUCCGUAAGGAGAAGCUCUUGAUCGAAGCCCCGGUAAACGGCGGCCGUAACUAUAACGGUCCUAAGGUAGCGAAAUUCCUUGUCGGGUAAGUUCCGACCUGCACGAAUGGCGUAAUGAUGGCCAGGCUGUCUCCACCCGAGACUCAGUGAAAUUGAACUCGCUGUGAAGAUGCAGUGUACCCGCGGCAAGACGGAAAGACCCCGUGAACCUUUACUAUAGCUUGACACUGAACACUGGUCCUUGAUGUGUAGGAUAGGUGGGAGGCUUUGAAGUGUGGACGCCAGUCUGCAUGGAGCCAUCCUUGAAAUACCACCCUUUAAUGGCUGGUGUUCUAACGUGGACCCGUGAUCCGGGUUGCGGACAGUGUCUGGUGGGUAGUUUGACUGGGGCGGUCUCCUCCUAAAGAGUAACGGAGGAGCACGAAGGUUAGCUAAUCCUGGUCGGACAUCAGGAGGUUAGUGCAAAGGCAUAAGCUAGCUUGACUGCGAGAGUGACGGCUCGAGCAGGUGCGAAAGCAGGUCUUAGUGAUCCGGUGGUUCUGAAUGGAAGGGCCAUCGCUCAACGGAUAAAAGGUACUCCGGGGAUAACAGGCUGAUACCGCCCAAGAGUUCAUAUCGACGGCGGUGUUUGGCACCUCGAUGUCGGCUCAUCACAUCCUGGGGCUGAAGUAGGUCCCAAGGGUAUGGCUGUUCGCCAUUUAAAGUGGUACGCGAGCUGGGUUUAGAACGUCGUGAGACAGUUCGGUCCCUAUCUGCCGUGGGCGCUGGAGAAUUGAGGGGGGCUGCUCCUAGUACGAGAGGACCGGAGUGGACGCAUCACUGGUGUUCGGGUUGUCAUGCCAAUGGCAUUGCCCGGUAGCUAAAUGCGGAAGAGAUAAGUGCUGAAAGCAUCUAAGCACGAAACUUGCCCCGAGAUGAGUUCUCCCUGAGACUAUAAGUCUCCUGAAGGAACGUUAAAGACGAUGACGUUGAUAGGUCGGGUGUGUAAGUGUAGCGAUACAUUGAGCUAACCGAUACUAAUGAACCGUGAGGCUUAACCUU
rnacentral:rRNA from 1 species